rnacentral:sRNA from 1 species
GAAGCCGCAGGCUCUGGUUUUCAUGCACCCCAGAACCCUGCUUGCUUGGGCUUAAAGUUGGACAAGCCCACGAGGAGGCCACCCUGGCCAAAAACCCCUCUGAGAAGGCUGUAGUAUUCGGUUCUGUCAAACACUUUGAGUUUCACGGAAAUAAUCUUCUUUUGCCAAGUCUGCCCGUGCCGUGAAGGUGCUGAAAGAGUGUAUCCGCCUGAAGCCGGACGACGCCACCAUCCCUCUCCUCGCUGCCAAGCUCUGCAUGGGCUCCCUGCACUGGUUGGAAGAGGCUGAAAAGUUUGCCAAAACUGUCGUUGAUGUGGGAGAGAAAACGUCAGAGUUCAAGGCCAAAGGCUACUUAGCUCUGGGGCUCACGUACAGUCUGCAGGCCACUGACGCUUCUUUGCGAGGGAUGCAGGAGGUCCUACAGAGAAAGGCGCUUCUUGCAUUUCAGAGGGCCCACAGCCUGUCACCCACAGAUCACCAAGCAGCUUUCUACCUGGCUCUGCAGCUUGCCAUCUCCAGACAGGUC